UAUGAAAAAAAGUCAAUUGGAUCUUUACUUGGAUGAACCUAGGGCAGAAAGAAAUGCAAAGAUUGAUAUUCUUUCCUUUUGGAAAGAAAAUGAAUUUCGUUAUCCCGAUCUUGCUUGUAUGGCUCGUGACAUUUUGAGUGUUCCAGUUUCUACAGUUGCAUCUGAAUCUACUUUUAGUGUUGGUGGGCGUAUCAUUGAUCAGUUUAGGAGUGCACUAAAAACAGAUAUUGUUGAAGCAUUAGUUUGCACUAAAGAUUGAUUAUAUGGCGAGGAGUAAGAAACACAAGAAGAAGUUAAAUUGGACGAGUUAACUGAAGAUGUAAUGGAGUUGGAGAACAACAAGGGCAAGGACUUGGAGGACGCUCCACCUCAUUCUUCAAGUUCUAGAUUUGUUUAGAUUUGUGUUUUUAACUUUUAUUAUAUUUGGGAUUGUAAUAUUAAUAUAUUUACUAUGUGUGUUUUGUUUAUUAUAUUUGGGAUGUAAUUUUAAUAUAUUGUUACAAUGUGUGUG